CUCCUCUGCGAGUGUUUACUGAAGCGAAGGGGAGAUCCACCUGAAGCACUUCAUUUUCCCCUAAAGCUCUAGUGACUGGACUCGUUAUGAUCAAUAUAAGGCAAGUUUUCAUUUUGUUUUUUUCCCCCUUUCAUAAAAAUUGCUUAAAUCUCAAUUUGUGAAGGGGUAUCUUCAAUAACAAAUUAGUUGUUCAAGAUUUGGGUUAUUCAUUUUUUGGAUACACCGUUUUUUCUCAUUGCUCAAGAUAGUCAAUUAUUUCUAAAAAUUGACAUCUAUUUCAAUUGUUCUCAAAGGUUUCUCUGGAUAAUGGAUACAGAAUUUUGCCAUGAAGAGAAAGGGAUUAGUCAGAAAGGAGAAAAGUAAUGCAAGGAAAGAAGAAUUUGGAAACACAUAACCACCAAGGGGCAAAAUAAGAGAUAGAGUUGAAAGUCUGAAUACUUAAAAUUGUACAAUUCUCGAGAAAUAUUGGGAUGUAUAGUCUACAGAAUAUAAAGGGGUUCAGAGGUAUGAUAACCAUAAUGUGAAUAGACCGUCACUAUAAGUUGGUGAUUAAAAAAGGUGUGUUGGUUUAUUGAUCCUAAAGGAAUUAAGAUGUCUGGAAUGGGAAGGAACAGGUUGUUUAUACAGUAGUUGUGAGGCCUUCCCUCCCCAGCCUGCAAGAUUGGUUCCCCUUGAGCUUUCUUAUGAUAGAUUUUAUGUAUUCCAACAAAAUAUUGCUACUUUCUCUUAGACUAAAGAGUAAGCAAAAGCUAAGUUGGCAUUUCCUUCUACAGACUAAUCUUCUGGAACUUAGGAAGGAAUGAUCUAGAUAAACUUUUGGAUGCAAAUAAAGCUAUUGGUCUGGAUGCUUCAUUUCAUUCAACAAAUUUAAGUGAUGGAAUAAAAUUAAAUUGUAUGCUGGCAAUGAUUGAUAG
rnacentral:lncRNA from 1 species